rnacentral:rRNA from 1 species
UACGGAGGGUGCGAGCGUUAAUCGGAUUUACUGGGUUUAAAGGGUGCGCAGGCGGUUGUUUAAGUCAGGGGUGAAAGCCCUAUGCUCAACAUAGGGAUUGCCUUUGAUACUGAACGGCUAGAGUGAAGAUGGAGUGGGUGGAAUGUGUUGUGUAGCGGUGAAAUGCAUAGAUAUAACACAGAACACCGAUCGCGAAGGCAGCUCACUAAUUUUCAACUGACGCUCAUGCACGAAAGCGUGGGGAUCAAACAGG